rnacentral:misc_RNA from 1 species
GAAAUUUUUCAGUUCGUUGUACUUAGAAAUAGCGCACUAUUUGUCACAUUCCAAUUCAUUUUUCAUAAUUCAAAAUUUGUGACAUGAUUGUUGAGUUUACUAACUUUUAAUAAACUCAUUCCUUGACCUUUUGAAAUUAGGCCAACAAGGUCAUGCAUAUUCUGGUGUUUCUGAGACUUAUCUAUAAUGAUCUCCGAGGUAAGAAGGUCCAGCUCUUUCUGGUCAAUCAAAUCGAAGCACCCAAAUUGACGAUAUCUCGAUACAUCCAAUUUCAACUCACUGAAUUUUAACCCAGUAACAGUAGCUCCCACAUAUUCCUCACCGUAACACAUUUGACCCUCAGUUUUUGACAAUGCUUCCUCAACUUGUUGAUGGAUGAAAGGACAUUGACAGAAUCUUUCCUCUUGAAAAUAUAGCAUACGAACCCCACAACUGAUAACGUUAGAACAACGUAAAGGAUAACCGUUCAUAUCUUCAGGGUAGAAUUCCACGAGAAGCUUACUGUAUUUGCCAAACCAAUCAUCUCUUGUAACAUCCACAAAGGGAUCAUACCCAAAGAAUGUAUGAGCUGUUCCACAAUCCUCUCCCUCCCAAUAAUUCCUACCAUAGCAACCACCAAAAUAGCAGUAGAGAUCGUUGCAGUCACCAUGAUCAUUUCUGAAAUGGUAUCUGCAUUUAACUU